AAAAAAAAGCUUAGCAGAGGAUUAAAAUCAAACAUUAUGCAAUGCAAAAGAGGAUAAACAUCAAGAGAAAAGCUAAGUAAUGAAUGAAACAAGAGUGGUGUAAUGUAGAGACAAAGUGGUCAUGGAUGGAGAUCAUGAGUGGGAAAUGGAAUAACAAUAAGCACCUGCUAAUUAGGAGAUUAUUCAAAUUUAUACAAGAUAGAAAAGUUCAAUAAUCAAUAGACACAAAAUAUUUUAGUACCCAAAAUUUUGUUUUGUUUUGGGUACUGUGUGUGUGAAACAGUGAGAGAGUAGAGAGAGAAUGCAUGAGAAUGCUUUGGGCCAUACAGCUGUGUGAUAUGAAAUCUAGGCAGAGAGUACAAGACCAAAGACUUGUCCACUCCACUUGAAAUGAAAGGACUUUCACUUUCUAACACAUCAGCUAACUUGUCCUUUGCUUUCUCUUGUCUUUUCAUGCAUUACAUUAACACCUAACCUCCCCUUCCCCUUCCCCAUCCUCUUUUCUUUAUAAAUCUCUCAACCUCUCAAUCUUGAUCCCAUGCCAACCAACAAUCGGUUUCUAUGCAGGGUAUUGAGCCAACAGCUUCAAAAUCCUCUAUCCCAAGAUUUCUUAUUUGUGUUACUAAGACUUUGAGAAGAGGGAGCUCUCUUCAGUCCAGUCCAAGGCAGCUUCUCGGUUGCUACUUAGCUGCUGACUCGUUGGCUCAAUAACUCAUCAACUGAAAUAAAUGUUUGGACAAUGAUGUGUUUCUGAACCAACGAUGCAGGAGCCAAGUUCAGCCAUGGCUGUCACGUCUUGGACUGAAGGGAGCUCCCUCGCCAUCCACUACCUUUAAGGGAAAGGAGGAACUGAGGCUCACUGAUUCUGAGAUCAUGAAGAUGCAGCAGAUAAGAUAAGGGCUUUUUUUUCUCCCACUAAGUUCUUAGACUCCUAAACCACUAGAAAUUCAAAUAAGAGAAGUUUUCUACAAAUGGGUAUAUUAGAAAUCCUAAAUGAGUCAUAACUCUUGCAGGAAAGUAAGCAGCUUCGUUCAAAUAUGUAAAUUUGUGGAAGGAUUUAGUCCUAUGGCUGGUUUUACGAGACUUUAUUCUAUGUUAUGACUUGGAUUUCCUUAUACUUAAUUAUUAUUUAGAGUUCAUAACAUGGGGUUUGGGUAUGUUAGAUAUGGAGUGGCAUCACAAUACGGCUUAAGCAUUGAGUGUAUAUUUCUGGGUUUUUCUUGUCUUUGAGUUUCGAAUGGUUCUGAGCUAAUACCUUGCAAUUUUGGGCUCUUAAAAUACCCAGGAAUAAUCUGAUCUCAGUGCAAAUCCCAGCACUUACAAGAGAAAUUACUCGAUGACCAACUUGAUUCUUAUUUAGUUCGUGGUUUUAUCCUUUCUAAGAAACUAUAAAUUCAGAUUCGUACCGUCAUGCAACAUACAUAUUUCUUGGAAAGAAAAUAAUGGAUGAAGCAGUGAAAUCCAUAUCAUAAACAAUUGAGUAAGAUUAAGUUAAAUAAAUGCCAAGCAUCAAAAUGAACCAUAGAAAUUGAUGAACAAGCUUAACAUUUACCCAACUUUUCAGAACAAUAAAUUAGUUUUCAAGCGGUACAAAUUAAUUCUUUAGGGAGUGUGUUAUGAUAUAUAUGUGCGUGUGUGUG